CUCCUGCCUCAGCCUCCCGAGCAGCUGGAACUAGAGGAGAGGGCAGGAUGAGGAUGCGGGCUGCCCUCGUGGGCUGGGCUUGCACCACCCUCUGCCUGGUUUCCUGCUCAUCUGCCUUUUCCCAUGGUGCCAGCACGGUGGCCUGUGAGGACAUGCAGCCCAAGCACAUUCAAGCCCAGCCUCAGCACCAGGACACCCACCACAUCACCAUCCACACCCGCAGGUCUUCCUAUGCACCAGGUGACAAGAUUCCAGUGACGGUGAGAAGCAGUCGUGAUUUCAUGGGAUUUCUCCUUCAGGCUCGAAGAGUGUCUGAUCAUCAAAUCGCUGGGACUUUUGUUUUCAUUCCUCCUCAUUCCAAACUGAUGACUUGUUUUCAAGAGGCUGAUGCAGUCACCCAUUCUGACAAGUCCCUGAAGAGAAACCUGUCGUUCCUGUGGAAGGCCCCUGCCCAGCCUGUGGGGGAUAUUAAGUUCCUUUUAUCAGUAGUCCAGUCAUAUUUCGUUUACUGGGCAAGGAUUGAAUCAUCUGUUGUGUCCCAACAGACACAUAGCAGCGCCCAUUCUGAUGACCGCAUGGAGCCCAGAUUACAGAUGCCAACCCUUCACCAGAGGCUGGGUGAUGUUGAAGGAGCUGCCCCAGCUCCCAGGGCCCCCAUCACUCUUCCACAGAAGCACACACAUGCCUUUGCUGUUGCCCUUCCUGGAGCUGCAGAGGAGGACAACCUAGAUCCUGUUCCUGCCAGUAUUUGGGUGACAAAGUUUCCUGGGGAUACAGAGACUCUGUCCCAACCAUCUUCACACACAGCCACUGAAGGCAGCAUCGACCAGCAACUCAGCAUGGACAGCAAUCCGACUCUAGAGCCGUCCCUGGAGGUCCACAGGCUGGAGAGGCUCGUGGCCCUCAAGAGAGUCUCCUCAGAGAGCUUUGCUUCCAGACUUAGCAUCCAUCACAGAAGUUUUUCAAGUGGAUCUGAUGCCAUCUGCAUACACAACAAUGAUCUCAGGAUGAUCCCAGCUUUGAUUCACUGGAAACUUGCCUAUCCUCAGUUGGGGGUGAACAGGACAAGAUGAAGGCCUCUAACAGGACCGUGACACAGCCUCCUCUGUACACCGUCCAGCUUACCCAUCCCCGGCGCCUCUGGUCCUCUGAAACUUUCACAGGGAAUGGGGCAGGGGCAAGCAACCCAACCGCUGUCCUCCAGACCUCUGGUACUUCUGGGCUACCUGCUACUGGUGACCAGUCAGAGGCAUCCAGGGCCUCUGCCAGCUUCUUACUUCAGUCAAAGCACGAGGAGCUCAGAGCAGGGAAGGGAGAUGGAGAGGGUGGAGUGGGAUACCCUCAGCAGACCAACUCACGGCCUGACGCUGGGCUAGAGGGGGCCCAGGCCCCUCUGGGGAUCCAGCUCAGAACUUCCCAGCUGGGAGUUCUGCUUUGCCUGUCAGCCAUCCUGGGCAUGGCCCUGGCUGCUGGCCUUCGCUACCUGCACACCCAGUAUUGCCACCAGCAGACAGAAGUGUCCUUCGGCGAGCCCGCUUCGGAUGCUGUUGCCAGGAGCGACGGUGGUGAGACUGUGCACAUCAGGAAGAUUGGGGAGAACAGUUUUGUUUUGGUUCAAGCAGAGUACAACUGGAUCACUCCUUCUGUGGGUAGCAAGAAAACAGUCCUCUGAGAAGACCAUCACCCCAGACCUCUCAGUGGCCCUCCUUGGGCCCUGGAGAGUGUCCCAGACAGAGCAGACCUAAUGAGAAUACCUGAUGAAGACAGGGACUCAUUGUGCCUCUGUCAAUGUGCAGUUCACAGAGGAAGCCGGGAGAGGACAGUUUCAUCAACAGAGGGAGUUAUUUCUGAGCUUUGUUGUCUUAACAUCUGUAAUUGAGCUUCCUUUUUUCUUUUUGCAAUUAGACGUUCUGUUUGAAGACUUAAACUCAACACAAUGAAUAUUGUAUAACCCGCUCAUUAACUAGACCCCUGUGGCCGCUAAGCUUCCUCUGUUGCCUUAAGGAAGCCAUAGAAAUAGAAAUGCUGUCCCUCCUUAGUGUCUCAUCCUCAUCUCUUCUAACUCUUUGGGGAAAAGAGUAAUGUUAGGUUGUGUCUCCUGCAAGAAAAAGAACUGCAGCUCUCACUUUGCCUUCCUAAACCACCCCCAAAUAAGUUUUCUUUUCAAAACUAGAAUUCAACAACUUGCUAGAGUUCUGAUUUGGAUGGCUAGGUGAAUGCAAGGGUGUUUGGUCUUCUGGGCAACUCAGCAGCCUGGCAAAUCGCUACGGAAAUUGAUCCAAAGUCAGGAAAGUUUUUGAGAGCUUGAUUGAACACAUCUUUAGGAAAACAUAUACAUGCAACACAAGGCCAUAAACACCAGAGUGGGGUAAGCAAGCCUUUUCAUCAGGUGUAAAUGGAUCUGAGACCUCCCAUCCAUUUACACUUGAUGGAAAGAUUCGUGUUUUCCAGCAGCUAGCAGACAUAUUGCCUUUUGCCAGAGGUCAGGCUGAAAAACGUUAUUAUACCAGCACAGUUUGAAGAACAGUCUUUACUUGUCUUUUCAGGGAAUAUCAGGCAGAAAGCUUCAUGGACGAAGGUCAUCUAUCUGAUCUCAUAACCUUAUGAAGAUUGCUUUGAUUUAACAGUGGCUCCACAGAUACUAUCUGAGGUCAAAACAACAGAUCUGAAUGUAACUCUUAAAUAUGCUCACCUAAUAUAGCACAUUGGAAUUAGCUGCCUUUUCAGAGUGAAACCUAUUAUAAAGUCACCAUUCAUUUUAAUGCAGAAACAAAAAUCACUACAAAUUCGGAAAGGAUAUUUGUUUAUUGAACACCUAAUUCAUACAGGAACUGUGCUAAGAAAUUUGCAUAUAUCUUCACAUUUAACCCUCACAAAAAUUUAAUGAGGAAUAAGUGCAGUAACUUUCCAAGGAGAAUGAGGCUUUCCUUACAUCUCAAUUUAACAAUUUUUAAAAAUUGGGUGUUCAGGAAAGAGACAGCUCCUGCUUUUUCCAUACCUCCCUUUAGCUCGUUGGUCAUCAAUUCCAAGACUGUCUCCUCCUGGAUUCUGGGCUAGAUAGCUCUGUUCCCUGGCUUCAGUCAUUAGAUGCAUGGAGACCUAGGUAAUUUGUGCAUUCACAAAUGAAAGUGUUCUAGGAAUGCUGUGGAAAGAAAGAAAUGUACUGUACUCUAAUAAGGCCACAGAUAUCCCUUCUGCAUGCCUAGGGAUGCCCUCUAAAAGAUGUCCUCCCCGAGAAGCAAACAAGGGACCCCAUUAGCGGAGAGCUCUCAUCUGGCCACAUCACAUCAGAGCCAGAUGCAUCAUGUAUGCAACAUUUUUUAGAUCUUUUCUGUCUAAGAGAGAAUUUUCCUAUGUAAACAGACUGUUUCGCUUAUCUGUUGAUGUGAACAGAUUACUUUCAAGCUUAGUAGUUGAAAAUAAAAUCACCACCACCAUUUAUCAUCUUUCACGAUUCUGGGGUUGCCUGGGCUCAGCUGGUCAGUUCUUCUGCUUUUGAUGUUAUUGAAUGGGAUGGGACAGCCUAGUUGACUCCCUCACAUGGCUUGCAGUUGGUGUUGGCUGCCAACUAAGGGCCCAAAUGGGGCUGCUGAAGAAUGUGGGAAGCAAUAUGGUUCUGUUCUUUGUGUCUUCUUAUGCCAUAUGGUGGCUGAGUUCCAAGAGGAAGUGUGCCAAGCACACAAAACCAAAGACUGCAUGUCUCUUAAGACCUAACCUUGGAAGUGGUCAUAGUGAGUCACAGGACCAACUCUCAUUAUUCAAAAGGAAGGGCAAUAGAUUUCACUUUUUGAUGGGAGACGUGACAGAGGAUUUGCAGCCAUCUUUAAUUCACUUUCCCUUCUUCUUAGACUGCUGACCUGCCAUGGGGGGAUUGUGUGAGACUUGAAGAGAUGCCAUUCAUCCCUGGGAGAUGAGGGAGGUGAGAGGAGUCUCCAGAUUUCAGGAUCAGGCACAGAUCCUUCAUAAAGACAAGGACUUUGUUUUGUUCAUUGCUGUAUUCCUAGUACAUAACUUGGAGUCCACUAUUCCUAGGACAUAGUAAGUAAUCAGUAGGUAUGUGUUACAUUUGUAAGUGAAAAGUUCAAUACCCGUGUUACUAUCACCAGCUCUUAGUGUAGAUUAAAGUUGAAUAUAUGGCACCUUGAGUAGCUUCAGAGCACAUGGGAAUCAGGCAAUGUAAGUUUCCCUCCUAGAGGUGAAUUUAAAAGAGUCUAUGGGUGACUGUCCUCAGUGCAGGAAAUGCUCUUAUGUCUCAGAUCCGAGGCUCCCGGGAGUUGUUGGCAGGGAAGAACCAAGAAUAGACUUCCCUCUCGAUCUGUGCUGGGGCAGACGGAAGGCUGAGCGGAGUCUUUCCAACUCAGAAGCUCCCUAUAGGCAGCUUUUCUUCAGGUCACAUCAUCUGUCACAGGGUUUCUCAACCUCCAUGCUGUCACCAUCUGGGACUGGAUAUUGCUUAUUUUGGGGGACUGUCCUGUGCAUUGUAGGAUGUUUAGUAGCAUCCCUGGCCUCUACUCAAUGCCAGUAGCUCCCUCCUCCCCAGUUGUAAAACCAAAAAUGUCUCCAGACAUGGACAAAUGUCCCCUGGAGGGCAAAAUUACCCCUGUUGGGGAACCAUUGGUCUAGAACAUAAGGCAUGUGACUGUAGGCCCCAAGCUGAAGUGGCAUUUCCCACAUGAUUUCCACACCCAGGGAUGAAGUGGGCAGUACUGAGAUGGAGAACUAUAGAGUUUACAAAUUGGAGUGCCUUUACAGGUCUUCUGACUCAGUGGUUUUUAAAAACCAAGUCAGUAAACCAAUAAAAGAUAAAUGCUCUAGGGAGGUUUGGGGAUAUCUUCCCCUCCUGUUUCCUUCUCCCAGCCUCCCUUUUGCCCAUUGCCUCAGAAACUCAGGGCUCCAACAAACAGGGAUUGAAAACCAUGAACAACGCCUUCUUCAGAUGAGGAGAACAAGGCCACGGAGAGGUCAGUCCAACAACAAGUAAGUCUAGGGGAGUCCUCAGAUUCCUCCGACCCACCCUGACUUCCAAAUCUGCUUUUCCUUCCACCAUACUUGGCAGCUCAUUUAUUCUCUUGGAUCAUGUUAGGUAUUGUAAAUAUUUCAACAGAUCCAGAGAGAGCCAAGAAUCAAGCAGAAAAAUGGCCUGGAAUGAUUACUUUACAGCCGCCCUGGGAAUGAGGAGGAUGAUAGGACACUGGGGACUGGUCAGUCAUGGACUCCAUGCCCCAGUGGCAGACGCAUCUAGAGAAAGCAUAAAGAAUGGAGUAGAGGCAGGAGAAAGGAUGGAUCGGGGAGUGGAAAUGAGUCGAGAUCUGCUUAGUGCCAAGUGUGAUGUGGACAAUUGCCUGCUGGAUGGAGACAGAAACUCAUUUCCCAUCUGUCAAGCAGCCUGACACAGAGUUGGUAAUGAUUUUCUGUCAGGCGAGGCCUGGCUGGAUUUGAACCCAUGACCCAGAGGUAACAGGGCCUGAUGUAGGGCUCCCUUUACAAUAACCGGCUGCCUGUGCCUUGUUACUCCCAGCCCAGGACUCUCUCUCACAUCUGCCCAUGCUUUCUCCUCAUGCAGCUGAAGUUUGGUUAGAUCCUGACUUAGCACUGGGGCUAAGUGAUUGAUGUCCCUGGGCAAGCAGAAGAUGCAUUAGUGUCUCAGGGAAUGGGAAAUGAAAGGUGGAAGAAAAACGGGAUGGUAGGGCUGCGGUGUGAUUAGCAUGAGGCCAAAAGCCGUGUGCUCCUGUGAAGCCAAGGUCUGACCCUCUCAGGAUCUUUGCAGCCUGUCGGCCAGCCAGAUGGCUCCCAUACAAAAGCCACCAGAUGUGUGGGUCUGGAGUAAUACUGAGUCUAGAUUCUCUGGGUGUCAACUAUUCUGGUGCUGAAAUUGUCAUUAUUCAUACCGAUUGUUUUCAUGAAAAAAGAGUCCCUUUCAGGAGCAUCCAUAGAUGAUUAACAUGAUGAUCCCCCAUUCACUGAAUGAUAAUUAAGAGUCACACACCCGUCUCUGAAAAUAGUGCUUCAUAGGUGGAAAGUAUCUGUCCUCCAGAAUCAGAAAAGCAAACUGGAGGGCCUUAAAGGUUAACUCAUUAUUAAACAUUUAUUGAAGUUUCUCCUAGCAGACAAGUGUUCUAUCAGGGUUAUAGACAUAAACAAAAUAACGUUCCCGUUGAAGAAAUUAAUCAUUUGGAGGGGAAGAGACAUGUUGACAAAGAAAACCUGGCACAACCUGAUAAGUCAUAUCAACAGUAAGUGAAGAAAUUCAGUAGCCAGUUGAAAAUGAAGGCCUAUGUCUCACGAUGUUGGGAAGCGCAGAGGGAGCCUGGGAAUUAGAGCAGAGGUAAAGUGAAGGGAAGCACAGGUGUUGGCCACAUCAGAGACGCAGCUGGAAUCUAGGUUUUCCCACUUAUAAGCUGUGGAACUUGGAACCUAAGUCUCAUGGACCCUCCACAUUCUAAUCUGUAAAAUGAGAAUAAUUACACCAAUGUCAAAAAUUGUUAUAAGGAUUAAAUGGGUAAAGCAUCCAUCAGAGUGUCUGGCACCUUGUAGGUGAUUGAUAACUGUCAGCAAAGGGCUUUAUGAAUUGGACAGGGGCAACACUGGAGGAAAAAAGAAUAGCUGGGAAAGGUAUUUUUAAGACAGUAGUAGUGGGAAGCAGAAGAGGGUAGAGGUAAAAAGGGGUUUUGCAGAUGGAAUCAAUAGAAUUUGGUGACUAACUGGAUAUAAAAAGUGGGACGUGAAGGUUGAGGGGGAGGAGAGCCAUGUGGUUGCUUUGCCUACAGAGGAA